rnacentral:rRNA from 1 species
UGUGUAGGCGGUUCUUUAAGUUCGCUGUGAAAUCUCCCGGCUUAACCGGGAGGGUGCGGUGAAUACUGAGGGACUAGAGUACGGGAGAGGAAAGUGGAAUCCUGGUGUAGCGGUGAAAUAGCGUAGAUAUCAGGAGGAACACCGGUGGUGUAGACGGCUUUCUGGACCGUAACUGACGCUGAGACACGAAAGCGUGGGUAGCAAACA